CCUAUGGGGUGCAGCAGGCGCGAAACCUCCGCAAUGUGAGAAAUCGCGACGGGGGGAUCCCAAGUGCCAUUCUUAACGGGAUGGCUUUUCAUUAGUGUAAAGAGCUUUUGGAAUAAGAGCUGGGCAAGACCGGUGCCAGCCGCCGCGGUAACACCGGCAGCUCUAGUGGUAGCAGUUUUUAUUGGGCCUAAAGCGUCCGUAGCCGGUUUAAUAAGUCUCUGGUGAAAUCUUGCAGCUUAACUGUGGGAAUUGCUGGAGAUACUAUUAGGCUUGAGAUCGGGAGAGGUUAGAGGUACUCCCAGGGUAGAGGUGAAAUUCUGUAAUCCUGGGAGGACCACCUGUGGCGAAGGCGUCUAGCUGGAACGAUUCUGACGGUGAGGGACGAAAGCUAGGGGCGCGAACCGGAUUAGAUACCCGCGUAGUCC
rnacentral:rRNA from 1 species